rnacentral:rRNA from 1 species
UGGGGAAUCUUGCGCAAUGGGCGAAAGCCUGACGCAGCCACGCCGCGUGCGGGAUGAAGGCCCUAGGGUUGUAAACCGCUUUUAACAGGAACGAAAAUGACGGUACCUGUAGAAUAAGGUGCGGCCAACUACGUGCCAGCAGCCGCGGUGACACGUAGGCACCAAGCGUUGUCCGGAUUUAUUGGGCGUAAAGAGCUCGUAGGCGGUUCAGUAAGUCGGGUGUGAAAACUCUGGGCUUAACCCAGAGACGCCACUCGAUACUAUUGUGACUAGAGUUCGGUAGGGGAGCGGGGAAUUCCUAGUGUAGCGGUGAAAUGCGCAGAUAUUAGGAGGAACACCGGUGGCGAAGGCGCCGCUCUGGGCCGAUACUGACGCUGAGGAGCGAAAGCGUGGGUAGCAAACAGGAUUAGAUACCCUGGUAGUCCACGCCCUAAACGAUGGAUACUCGACAUACGCGAUACACUGUGUGUGUCUGAGCGAAAGCAUUAAGUAUCCCACCUGGGAAGUACGUUCGCAAGAAUGAAACUCAAAGGAAUUGACGG